AGUCGUAACAAGGUUUCCGUAGGUGAACCUGCGGAAGGAUCAUUACCGAGUGCAGGUCUGCCCCCGGGCAGGCCUAACCUCCCACCCGUGAAUACCUGACCAACGUUGCUUCGGCGGUGCGCCCCCCCGGGGGUAGCCGCCGGAGACCACACCGAACCUCCUGUCUUUAGUGUUGUCUGAGCUUGAUAGCAAACCUAUUAAAACUUUCAACAAUGGAUCUCUUGGUUCCGGCAUCGAUGAAGAACGCAGCGAACUGCGAUAAGUAAUGUGAAUUGCAGAAUUCAGUGAAUCAUCGAGUCUUUGAACGCACAUUGCGCCCCCUGGCAUUCCGGGGGGCAUGCCUGUCCGAGCGUCAUUGCUGCCCUUCAAGCCCGGCUUGUGUGUUGGGUCGUCGUCCCCCCCGGGGGACGGGCCCGAAAGGCAGCGGCGGCACCGCGUCCGGUCCUCGAGCGUAUGGGGCUUUGUCACCCGCUCGAUUAGGGCCGGCCGGGCGCCAGCCGGCGUCUCCAACCUUCUAUUUUACCAGGUUGACCUCGGAUCAGGUAGGGAUACCCGCUGAACUUAAGCAUAUCAAUAA
rnacentral:misc_RNA from 1 species